CCUACGGGAGGCAGCAGUGAGGAAUAUUGGUCAAUGGACGAGAGUCUGAACCAGCCAAGUAGCGUGAAGGAUGACGGCCCUAUGGGUUGUAAACUUCUUUUAUAAAGGAAUAAACUGAGGCACGUGUGCCUUUUUGCAUGUACUUUAUGAAUAAGGAUCGGCUAACUCCGUGCCAGCAGCCGCGGUAAUACGGAGGAUCCGAGCGUUAUCCGGAUUUAUUGGGUUUAAAGGGAGCGUAGGCGGGCCUGUAAGUCUGGUGUGAAAGGUUGCGGCUCAACCGUAGGAUUGCAGUUGAUACUGGGGGGCUGGAGUGCGGUUGAGGUAGGCGGAAUUCGUGGUGUAGCGGUGAAAUGCUUAGAUAUCACGAAGAACCCCGAUUGCGAAGGCAGCUUACUGAAGUGUGACUGACGUUGAUGCUCGAAGGUGUGGGUAUCGAACAGGAUUAGAUACCCGGGUAGUC
rnacentral:rRNA from 1 species